rnacentral:rRNA from 1 species
AAUAUUGGACAAUGGAGGAAACUCUGAUGCAGCGACGCCGCGUGAGUGAAGAAGGUCUUAGGAGCGUAAAACUCUGUCCGUGGUGAAGAUAAUGACGGUAGCGAAGGAGGAAGCCACGGCUAACUAAGUGCCAGCAGGCGCGGUAAGACGUAGGGGGCUAGCGUUGUCCGGAUUUACUGGGCGUAAAGGGUGAGUAGGCGGUUAUGUAUGUCAGAUGUAAAAGGCGUGGGCUUAACUUACGUUAGCAUUUGAACCUGCAUAACUUGAGUGCGGGAGAGGUAAGUGGAAUUCCUAGUGUAGCGGUGAAAUGCGUAGAUAUUAGGAGGAACACCAGUGGCGAAGGCGACUUACUGGACCGUAACUGACGCUGAGUCACGAAAGCGUGGGUAGCAAACAGG